GAUUAACGCUGGCGGCGUGCAUAACACAUGCAAGUCGAACGAUGAAACUUAGUCGACUUCUUCGGAAAGACACUAAGCGGCUUAGUGGCGAACGGGUGAGUAACGCGUGAGUAACCUGCCUUACACAAGGGGAUAGCCUUUGGAAACGAAGAAUAAUACCCUAUAAAACCAUAAAAGCACAUGCUAGAAUGGUCAAAGUGAUAGCGGUGUAAGAUGGACUUGCGUCUGAUUAGCUAGUUGGUGAGAUAAAAGCUCACCAAGGCAACGAUCAGUAGCCGGCGUGAGAGAGUGUACGGACACAUUGGGACUGAGACACGGCCCAGACUACUACGGGAGGCAGCAGUGGGGAAUUUUGCACAAUGGGGGAAACCCUGAUGCAGCGACGCCGCGUGAUUUAGAAGGCCUUCGGGUUGUAAAAAUCUUUUGUAUAGGAAGAAAAUGACAGUACUAUACGAAUAAGGUCCGGCUAAUUACGUG
rnacentral:rRNA from 1 species